GAUGAACGCUGGCGGCGUGCCUAAUACAUGCAAGUCGAGCGAACAGAUAAGGAGCUUGCUCCUUUGACGUUAGCGGCGGACGGGUGAGUAACACGUGGAUAACCUACCUAUAAGACUGGGAUAACUUCGGGAAACCGGAGCUAAUACCGGAUAACAUAUUGAACCGCAUGGUUCAAUAGUGAAAGGCGGCUUCGCUGUCACUUAUAGAUGGAUCCGCGCCGUAUUAGCUAGUUGGUAAGGUAACGGCUUACCAAGGCAACGAUACGUAGCCGACCUGAGAGGGUGAUCGGCCACACUGGAACUGAGACACGGUCCAGACUCCUACGGGAGGCAGCAGUAGGGAAUCUUCCGCAAUGGGCGAAAGCCUGACGGAGCAACGCCGCGUGAGUGAUGAAGGUCUUCGGAUCGUAAAACUCUGUUAUCAGGGAAGAACAAAUGUGUAAGUAACUGUGCACAUCUUGACGGUACCUGAUCAGAAAGCCACGGCUAACUACGUG
rnacentral:rRNA from 1 species